rnacentral:rRNA from 1 species
UACAGAGGUGGCAAGCGUUGUUCGGAAUUACUGGGCGUAAAGGGCGAGUAGGUGGCCAUCUAAGUCAGACGUGAAAUCCCCCCGGCUUAACCUGGGAACUGCGUCUGAUACUGGACGGCUUGAGUAUGGGAGAGGGAUGUAGAAUUCCAGGUGUAGCGGUGAAAUGCGUAGAUAUCUGGAGGAAUACCGGUGGCGAAGGCGGCAUCCUGGACCAUUACUGACACUGAUCCGCGAAAGCUAGGGGAGCAAACGGG